rnacentral:rRNA from 1 species
AUUGAACGCUGGCGGCAGGCCUAACACAUGCAAGUCGAGCGGAGCGGCGGACGGGUGAGUAAUGCCUAGGAAUCUGCCUGGUAGUGGGGGAUAACGUCCGGAAACGGGCGCUAAUACCGCAUCCUAGAAGAUGAGCCUAGGUCGGAUUAGCUAGUUGGUGGGGUAAAGGCCUACCAAGGCGACGAUCCGUAACUGGUCUGAGAGGAUAAUCAAUCACAUGGGAACUGAGACACGGUCCAAACUCCUCCGUGAGGCAUCAGUGGGGAAACUUGGACAAUGGGCGAAAGCCUGAUCCAGCCAUGCCGCGAGUGUGAAGAAGGUCUUCGGAUUGUAAAGCACUUUAAGUUGGGAGGCGUUACCAACAGAAUAAGCACCGACUAACUUCGUGCCAGCAGCCGCGUUAAUAC